rnacentral:lncRNA from 1 species
GGGUUUGUGAAGAGUUUGUGUGAAUGCGGAUGAAUAAAAUCAACACACGGAUGCAAAUAGAAAUGUAAAACUGAAAUGCAGACAGAAACAUAAAAACGAAAUCAAAUACAGAAUAAAAACGGUAGGUCAUUAAUUCAAUUACUAUGCUUCCAAUCCCCGAUUAAAGACAAGUACACACUACUCUAAUCCAAAUCCAACACGAAUCAACCAACUAAGCGAAGGCUAAUUCGGUCUUGAAAAUCGCAGACUAAGCGAAUGAAAUGCAUAAAUUUAAUCAGUCAAGCACCAUACAGUAUAAUCAACUAAGCGAAGAUUAAACACCGAUUAGGCAACUAAGCGUUUACCUAAUCGCAAGCACACAACAAAAUAAAUAUUGAGCCAAAUCAGAGCAGCCGUAAACAUAAAGACAAUCCAAUAAAUCUCAAGGAAGCAAAGUAGUAUCACUAACGACCAACCCG